ACCGUUGUGCAAUUAAUGGCAAUUAAUUGUGUUUGAUUGCCAUUAACCGGACGUUUCCUCCUGGGGCCUAUAUAUUCCAUACGCAGAGACACCUUCCAUACCUGCGAGACACACUCAGUCCUCUCCUGUCGAGUUGCUUUCUGUCCAUUCCCGUCCCGAACCUCUGCGCGCACAGAGAUCGGGAGAGCAGGCCUCCGGAACCCGACGCCUUGCAACGAGACACCUGCUCGGGUGUUGCGGGCAAUCAGAUUUUUGGGGAGCGUCUUCCGCGACUGCUCACCGACGAGUUCGUUGUCUUCUUCCUGGUGGACGUUCUCACGGAUCGAGAUCGACUACUGCGUCUUCGUCUUCUUCCUGGUGGACGUUCGCGGGACUGCACUGCGAAUAUCUUCCUGCACCGACUGUGGUCCGCUACUUUGAGCAACGCACUAUGUCGACUAGUGCGAAUGGAGCCGCCGGUGCCUUCGGCACUGGUCCCUCCUCUGGGUAC
rnacentral:lncRNA from 1 species